rnacentral:misc_RNA from 1 species
AAUAUAUAAAAGGAAUAAUAACAUCCAUUCAUAUAUUGUGCAAGAAAUUCAAGGCUUUAAUCUACUUUAAGCAUUAUGAUUAGUUACAGAUGGGUGGGAAUGGGUGGAGUUUGCAGUCACUGUUAAGUAGUUUCCAACCACAUGAGGGAAUAUGAUAAUUUGAAGUUUAUAUUGUAUACUUUUUCAAAUCUUUACUUUGUGUUGUUAGCAUCUUCUUUGAACCUCCUUUUAUUGUUUUCCCCUCCUAAUUUGUAUUUCAGGGUUCCAAGAAG